GACGAACGCUGGCGGCGUGCCUAAUACAUGCAAGUCGAGCGGAACUGGGGGAGCUUGCUCCUUCCAGUUCAGCGGCGGACGGGUGAGUAACACGUGGGCAACCUGCCCUGCAGAUCGGGAUAACUCCGGGAAACCGGUACUAAUACCGAAUAGUUUGGCGCCUCUCCUGAGGCGCUACGGAAAGACGGUUUCGGCUGUCACUGCAUGAUGGGCCCGUGGCGCAUUAGCUAGUUGGUGGGGUAACGGCCCACCAAGGCGACGAUGCGUAGCCGACCUGAGAGGGUGACCGGCCACACUGGGACUGAGACACGGCCCAGACUCCUACGGGAGGCAGCAGUAGGGAAUCUUCCGCAAUGGACGCAAGUCUGACGGAGCAACGCCGCGUGAGUGACGAAGGUUUUCGGAUCGUAAAACUCUGUUGUGAGGGAAGAACACGUACCAACUAACUAUUGGUACCUUGACGGUACCUCACCAGAAAGCCACGGCUAACUACGUGCCAGCCGCCGCCGUAA
rnacentral:rRNA from 1 species